rnacentral:pre_miRNA from 1 species
CUAAGGAAAUAGUAGCCGUGAUUUUACCCUCGAAGUCAUUCCCAUAUCACAGUUGCUGUUUCUUUUAGAU